AACUAGGGGGGGCAACUUAAGUCUCUAUGGGUCAACUAAUAUGGUGGGUGGAUGGGCACCUGGCUGGCACAGUACCCUGGGCUGUAUAGUAUAGGUAGGCAUCUGACAGUGUUCAGGUGGAGUAAUGAGAGAAGGCAGACAUCCAUGGCAUGUUAUGUCAAUACAAACAGCCUGCUGUCAGUCAUUGAGUAGUGGGAAGAUUGACUUCUGCGUCAUAUGUUGAUUCAAAUGCUCUGAAAUGGGUUUAGUAAUGUCUUUGUUACUAUUGUUGUUGGCGCUAUCUUAACUUAUGGCCUGGUGCCGACUCUGAGAGAGAUUGUUUUGAGUGUCUUUUCUUUGGGCGAGGGGAUAGUGUUUUCACACAGCCUAUUUUCAGUGUAAUUAUUUGCAACAGUCUGUGGACAAAGGGAGCACGCUGAGAUCCUGUGUCCUCAUAAUGAAAUAAUGGGAUUCAUUUUCCUCUCAGUGGGCUAGAAGGAGGCCACUCCACCCCUACAGCUUUCCAAAAACAGGGAAAAAGAGGGAGGGAACAAGAGACACACGGGGAGAGAGAGAAAGACAGAGGUGGGAAAAGAGAGACACAGGGGGAGAGAGAGAAAGACAGAGGUGGGAAAAGAGAGACACAGGGGGAGAGAGAGAAAGACAGAGGUGGGAAAAGAG